CGGCGAGUGAAGCGGGAAGAGCUCAGGUUGAAAAUCCCUCGGGAGUUGUAACCUGUAGGCCCAGUGCUCCAUCCGACGCGGGUGCAAGUCCUCACGAACGAGGCGCCAGGGAGGGUGAUAGCCCCGUCCCGCCCGCGAAAGUGUCAGAGCCCGGUGCCGACGAGUCGGGAUGCUUGGGAAUGCAUCCCUAAGUGGGUGGUAAGUCCCAUCUAAAGCUAAAUACGGGCAAGAGACCGAUAGCGAACAAGUACUGUGAAGGAAAGAUGAAAAGCGCUUUGAAAAGAAGGUUAAAAGAGCUUGAAAUUGCUGAAACGGAAGUGAUUGGCCCCAGUACGGCGCCCAGGUCCUCUAUGGUCCAGGCGCCGGUCAGCAUCGGCUGCUGCUGCGUGAAAGCGCCUCGAGGAAGGUGACGUGGCCCCGCUCCGGCGGGUUCCCGCGUGUUACAGCCUCGGGGAUCGCGGCGCGGCGGCGGCCGAGGGAAGCGCGCAGCUCCACGGAUCAUCCGCGCUGCGCGAAGAUGCUGACGAAAUGGGUUCCAUCAGCCCGUCUUGAAACACGGACCAAGGAGUCUGACAUGUGUGCGAGUACUCCGGUGGAAAACCGCUGUGCGCAAUGAAAGUAUUCAGAUGGGACCUUCGGGGCACCAUCGGCCGGUCUGCAACGCCACGGCUUGCGGGCUGCGCCAGAGCAGAUAUGUUGGGACCCGAAAGAUGGUGAACUAUGCCUGGGUAGGGCGAAGCCAGGGGAAACCCUGGUGGAGGCUCGAAGCGAUUCUGACGUGCAAAUCGAUCGUCAAACCUGGGUAUAGGGGCGAAAGACUAAUCGAACCAUCUAGUAGCUGGUUCCCUCCGAAAUUUCCCUUAGGAUAGCUGCAACUGAAUCCAGUUUUAUCAGGUAAAGCGAAUGAUUAGAGGAUUCAGGGCCGGAAUGGCCUUGACCUAUUCUCAAACUUUAAAUGGGUAAGAAGGGCCGCCUUUCUUGACUGAAGGCGGCCCGCGAAUGGAAGUUGUUAGUGGGCCAUAGCAGGUAAGCUGCUCUGGCGAUGCGGGAUGAACCGAACGUGGUGUUAAAGCGCCGGACUGUCCGCUCAUCAGAUCCCACAAAAGGUGUUGGUUCAUAUAGACAGCAGGACGGUGGCCAUGGAAGUUGGAAUCCGCUAAGGAGUGUGUAACAACUCACCUGCCGAAUGAAUUAGCCCUGAAAAUGGAUGGCGCUGUAGCGGACGGCUUAUACACCACCACCGGGCCAAGAUGGAGGGCCCGGUGAGUAGGAGGGCGUGGCGCUCGCGGAGAAGGCCUGGGCGUGAGCCCGGCUCGAGCGGGCGCUGGUGCAGAUCUUGGUGGUAGUAGCAAAUAUUCAAAUGAGAACUUUGAAGGCCGAAGUGGAGAAAGGUUUGGUGGGAACAGCAGUUGGCCGCCAGUGAGCCGCUCCUAAGAGAUAGGGUAAUGCCGUUCGGAAGUGGGCGUCUCGCACGCCCCGCCUAUCGAAAGGGAACCAGGUUUAUAUUCCUGGGCCUGGGCGGAGAAAGGUGGCAACACGCACGAGCUGGGAGACGUCGGAGGGAGCCCCGGGGAGAGUUCUCUUUUCUUGUUAACAGCCUCUUCCCCUGGAAUCGGUUCGCCCGGAGAUAGGGGUGCAUGGCUGGAAUAGCUGUCGCGCUUAGCGACGGUCCGGAGCGCUCUCGACGGCCCUUGAAAACCCCAGCGAGGUACCUUGUGUCAAUCUCACCCCAGGGCGUACUCAUAACCGCAUCAGGUCUCCAAGGUUAGCAGCCU
rnacentral:rRNA from 1 species